rnacentral:rRNA from 1 species
CAGCCGCGGUAAUUCGGAGGGUGCAAGCGUUAUCCGGAUUUAUUGGGUUUAAGGGUCCGUAGGCGGAUGUGUAAGUCAGUGGUGAAAUCUCACAGCUUAACUGUGAAACUGCCAUUGAUACUGCAUGUCUUGAGUGUUGUUGAAGUAGCUGGAAUAAGUAGUGUAGCGGUGAAAUGCAUAGAUAUUACUUAGAACACCAAUUGCGAAGGCAGGUUACUAAGCAACAACUGACGCUGAUGGACGAAAGCGUGGGGAGCGAACAGGAUUAGAUACCCUGGUAGUCCACGCCGUAAACGAUGCUAACUCGUUUUUGGAUUUUCGGAUUCAGAGACUAAGCGAAAGUGAUAAGUUAGCCACCUGGGGAGUACGUUCGCAAGAAUGAAACUCAAAGGAAUUGACGGGGGCCCGCACAAGCGGUGGAUUAUGUGGUUUAAUUCGAUGAUACGCGAGGAACCUUACCAAGGCUUAAAUGGGAAAUGACAGGUUUAGAAAUAGACUUUUCUUCGGACAUUUUUCAAGGUGCUGCAUGGUUGUCGUCAGCUCGUGCCGUGAGGUGUUAGGUUAAGUCCUGCAACGAGCGCAACCCCUGUCACUAGUUGCCAUCAUUAAGUUGGGGACUCUAGUGAGACUGCCUACGCAAGUAGAGAGGAAGGUGGGGAUGACGUCAAAUCAUCACGGCCCUUACGCCUUGGGCCACACACGUAAUACAAUGGCCAGUACAGAGGGCAGCUACACAGCGAUGUGAUGCAAAUCUCGAAAGCUGGUCUCAGUUCGGAUUGGAGUCUGCAACUCGACUCUAUGAAGCUGGAAUC